rnacentral:rRNA from 1 species
AGUGAACGCUGGCGGUAGGCCUAACACAUGCAAGUCGAACGGCAGCACAGUAAGAGCUUGCUCUUACGGGUGGCGAGUGGCGGACGGGUGAGGAAUACAUCGGAAUCUACUUUUUCGUGGGGGAUAACGUAGGGAAACUUACGCUAAUACCGAAUACGACCUACGGGUGAAAGCAGGGGAUCUUCGGACCUUGCGCGAUUGAAUGAGCCGAUGUCGGAUUAGCUAGUUGGCGGGGUAAAGGCCCACCAAGGCGACGAUCCGUAGCUGGUCUGAGAGGAUGAUCAGCCACACUGGAACUGAGACACGGUCCAGACUCCUACGGGAGGCAGCAGUGGGGAAUAUUGGACAAUGGGCGCAAGCCUGAUCCAGCCAUACCGCGUGGGUGAAGAAGGCCUUCGGGUUGUAAAGCCCUUUUGUUGGGAAAGAAAAGCAGCAGGUUAAUACCCCGCUGUUCUGACGGUACCCAAAGAAUAAGCACCGGCUAACUUCGUGC